rnacentral:lncRNA from 1 species
AUGGACCUUACAAGUUUGGAAAAGAAGCAUCUUGUAUUUCUCUUCCACAGAAGUGUGUACAAUUACGUAUAUCUCCUUUUUAAGAAGAAAGUUGAUGCUCUUUUCCCGACGAGAGAGAGAGAAAAGAAUAAGAAGAUUCAAAGGUUUCUGUGUCUAAGGACUGAAUGGAUGGUGUACCACUUGGCAAGAGAGAGGAUACAAGAGGAUUUUGACCAAAUGCAUUCAACAUGUAUCUGCAUGCAAACUCUUGAAGCUCUUGGCUGUUUUUUCCAACCACCGCGGUGA